rnacentral:rRNA from 1 species
AGUGAACGCUGGCGGUAGGCCUAACACAUGCAAGUCGAACGGCAGCACAGUAAGAGCUUGCUCUUACGGGUGGCGAGUGGCGGACGGGUGAGGAAUACAUCGGAAUCUACUUUUUCGUGGGGGAUAACGUAGGGAAACUUACGCUAAUACCGCAUACGACCUACGGGUGAAAGCAGGGGAUCUUCGGACCUUGCGCGAUUGAAUGAGCCGAUGUCGGAUUAGCUAGUUGGCAGGGUAAAGGCCCACCAAGGCGACGAUCCGUAGCUGGUCUGAGAGGGUGAUCAGCCACACUGGAACUGAGACACGGUCCAGACUCCUACGGGAGGCAGCAGUGGGGAAUAUUGGACAAUGGGCGAAAGCCUGAUCCAGCCAUACCGCGUGGGUGAAGAAGGCCUUCGGGUUGUAAAGCCCUUUUGUUGGGAAAGAAAAGCAGCAGGUUAAUACCCCGCUGUUCUGACGGUACCCAAAGAAUAAGCACCGGCUAACUUCGUG